ACUGGUCUCCUAGGACCACCAUUCUGCACCCCUCCAUCCCUUAUAGCCCGUCUAGCAUCAACCACCUGGAAGAAGAGGUGGGAGGAGACCAGUACUGAUCAGCUCACAGCCCCGCUAGCGAUGGGCCUCCAAGCGCUUGCGCACUCUUUUCACUGCACUGCAGGGGUCUGCUUCACGCAGGGAGGGGGUUUCUCUGCGCAUGCGCACUCUGGAGUGUUCUCCAGACCAGCAGCAGCAACAGGAUUGCCGCAGACAUGUUGGAAACGCAGACUCUCAGCCCAUCCUAGUCUUGUCAAGCUGAAACUCAGAUCAUCCACGCCUGUAUACUUAUGUUAGCAUGAUUUGGGGACAGCCUAUUCUGUGCCAGUUAGGGCACAUGUCAGCACAGAGUCAUCGUGAUGAAGACAUCAUCUUGGUUUGUAUGGACCUUAGAUCUGACAGCAGUCUGCCCUAAAGUUCUCACCUCCACUCACCAGAGUCUGUCUCACCUUAAGAUGUUGUCCUGUUUUGGUGAACAGACAGGCCAGUGAACCCAAGUCCUCUCUGCUUUCCAGGUCCUGUGGGGUUUCC
rnacentral:lncRNA from 1 species